rnacentral:rRNA from 1 species
AUUGAACGCUGGCGGCAGGCUUAACACAUGCAAGUCGAACGAGUGGCGGACGGGUGAGUAAUGCUUGGGUAUCUUGCUUAUGGAGGGGGAUAACUAUGGGAAAAUGUAGCUAAUAACGGGUUUCAUAGUAUGAGACCAAGUGGGAUUAGGUAGUUGGUGAGGUAAAGGCUCACCAAGCCGACGAUGCCUAGCUGGUCUGAGAGGAUGACCAGCCACACUGGGACUGAGACACGGCCCAGACUCCUACGGGAGGCAGCAGUGGGGAAUCUUGCGCAAUGGGGGAAAGCUGACGGAGCCAUGCCGCGUGAGUGAAGAAGGCCUUCGGGUUGUAAAGUUCUUUCGGUAGCGAAGCGGUAACUAAAGAAGAAGCACCGGCUAACUCCGUGCCAGCAGCCGCGGUAAUUC